GUAUAGCAAUAGCUGAUUGCACCAACAAAUGGUUGAUGCAAUAUUGACUCUGUCAAAUAAAAUUCUAGGUAGAAUUAUGAUAAUGACAUUGUCUGCCUAUAUGUCUUGACCAAAUUACGUGCCAGCAGUCGCGGUAAUACGUAGAAGACUAGUGUUAUUCAUCUUUAAUAGGUUUAAAGGGUACCUAGACGGUAAAUCAAGCCUUCACAGGGACUAAUUUACUAGAGUUACUUACGAGGGGGUAUUAAAGUACUGCAGGUGUAGAGAUGAAAUUCUGUCAUACCUCUUUUCAAAAGAAAAAUUAUGGCACAGGUAUAGGUGAAAGCAUCCCCUUAUGUGAUAACUGACGUUGAAGGACGAAGGCUUUGUGUCGCGAACAGGAUUAGAUACCCCAGUAGUCAAAGCAGAAAAUGAUGAAUGUCAUAGAUUAGAUAUAUAGUUUAUUCUAUAAAUGAAAAUGUAAGCAUUCCACCUCAAGAGUAAUUUGGCAACAUUGGAACUGAAAUCAUUAGACCGUUUCUGAAACCAGUAGUGAAGUAUGUUGUUUAAUUUGAUGAUCCGCAAAAAACCUUACCACAAUUUGAAUAUUUGUAUCUAUCUUUUUUUUCGUAAAAAAAUAAAAAGGUAAUAUAUUUACAAGCGUUGCACGGCUGUCUUCAGUUAAUGUCGCGAGACUUUGGUUAGUUCCAUUUAAUUAACGUAAACCCUUACUUUAUUUUUAUAUGAAGUAGUUCCCCGCUAUAUUGGAUAUGAUAACAG
rnacentral:rRNA from 1 species